rnacentral:other from 1 species
GCAAGCCUGGGAUGUGCGUGGGAUCUAUUGGUGUCUAACCUACAUUUAUCAUAGGGAAUCCGAUUUGAUUUUGGCAGAUGUGCGCCUCGGCGAUCGCAGAAACCAAACUUAGGGUACCCACCUGCUGUUAGCAGGUUUAGGCAUUUAGAGCGAACGGCAUUUUGGACCCCUA